UACGGAGGGUGCAAACGUUGCUCGGAAUCAUUGGGCGUAAAGCGCACGUAGGCGGCCUGUUAAGUCGGGUGUGAAAUCCCUGGGCUCAACCCAGGAAGUGCACUCGAAACUGGCGGGCUUGAAUAUGGAAGAGGGUCGCGGAAUUCCCGGUGUAGAGGUGAAAUUCGUAGAUAUCGGGAGGAACACCAGUGGCGAAGGCGGCGACCUGGGCCAAUAUUGACGCUGAGGUGCGAAAGCGUGGGGAGCAAACAGG
rnacentral:rRNA from 1 species